rnacentral:rRNA from 1 species
UUGAGCGUCUUAAGGGCAUUCGGUGGAUGCCUUGGCAUUGAGAGGCGAUGAAGGACGUGGUACGCUGCGAAAAGCCGCGGGGAGUUGUGAACAAGCAUUGAGCCGCGGAUCUCCGAAUGGGGAAACCCAUCCCUUAUGGGAUAUCCUAUGGUGAAUACAUAAGCCACAGGAAGCAAACUCGGGGAACUGAAACAUCUCAGUACCCGAAGGAAAAGAAAUCAAACGAGAUUCCGUUAGUAGUGGCGAGCGAACGCGGAACAGGCCUGCGCUCUUGUGUGUCGAACUGGAAACAGGUGGGAAAUUGUGCCAAAGAGGGUGAUAGCCCCGUACAGGUAAGAGACACACAGGAGACAAGAGUAGGGCGGGACACGUGAAAUCCUGCUUGAAGAUAGGGGGACCACCCUCUAAGCCUAAAUACUCCUCAAUGACCGAUAGUGAACAAGUACCGUGAGGGAAAGGUGAAAAGUCCCCCGACGAGGGGAGUGAAAUAGUCCCUGAAACCGAAUGCUUACAAGCAGUGGAAGCCCACUCGUUGGGUGACCGCGUACCUUUUGUAUAAUGGGUCAGCGACUUGGUGUUGCGAGCAAGCUUAAGCCGUAAGGUGUAGGCGUAGCGAAAGCGAGUCUGAACAGGGCGACAUAGUUCGUGGCAUCAAACCCGAAACCGGGUGAUCUAGCUAUGGGCAGGCUGAAAGCGAGGUAACACUCGCCGGAGGGCCGAACUCACCGAUGUUGAAAAAUCGGGAGAUGACCUGUGGCUAGGGGUGAAAGGCCAAUCAAACCCGGAAAUAGCUGGUUCUCCGCGAAAUCUAUUGAGGUAGAGCGUCACGUUAAACCUCUGGAGGUAGAGCACUGGAUGGGCUAGGGGGGCGCGAGCCUUACCAAUCCCAACCAAACUCCGAAUGCCAGAGAGUUCUUGCGUGGCAGACAGACGGUGGGUGCUAAGGUCCAUCGUCAAAAGGGAAACAGCCCUGACCGCCAGUUAAGGCCCCUAAAUGGUAACUAAGUGGAAAAGGGAGUGGGGACUCCAAGACAGCCAGGAGGUUGGCUUAGAAGCAGCCAUCCUUUAAAGAAAGCGUAACAGCUCACUGGUCUAAAUAAGAGUCCCUGCACCGACAAUGUAACGGGUCUCAAGUUACCUGCCGAAACUGCGGGCUCAUAGCAAUAUGAGCGGUAGCGGAGCGUUCCGUAAGCCUGCGAAGGAGACCUCGUGAGAGACUCUGGAGGUAUCGGAAGUGAGAAUGCUGACAUGAGUAGCGACAAGGAGAGUGAGAAACUCUCCCGCCGAAAGUCCAAGGGUUCCUGUGUAAAGUUAAUCUGCGCAGGGUGAGCCGGCCCCUAAGGCGAGGCCGAAAGGCGUAGCUCGAUGGGAAUCUGGUCAAUAGUCCAGAGCCUGCGGGUGGUGACGAAUGGAUGGGGAUGUCCGCGCUUAUAUGGAUUGCGCUGGCUGCACGCCCUUCCGUUCCAGGAAAUAGCCCCCGCUUAUAGACCGUACCCCAAACCGACACAGGUGGACAGGUAGAGCAUACUAAGGCGCUUGAGAGAACGAUGUUGAAGGAACUCGGCAAAUUACCUCCGUAACUUCGGGAUAAGGAGGCCCUCUUCGCGGGCAACCGUGAUGAGGGGGCACAAGCCAGGGGGUAGCGACUGUUUACUAAAAACACAGGGCUCUGCAAAGUCGAUAAGACGACGUAUAGGGCCUGACGCCUGCCCGGUGCCGGAAGGUUAAGGAGCGAUGUGCAAGCAUCAAACUGAAGCCCCGGUAAACGGCGGCCGUAACUAUGACGGUCCUAAGGUAGCGAAAUUCCUUGUCGGGUAAGUUCCGACCUGCACGAAUGGCGUAACGAUUUCCCCACUGUCUCCAACAUCGACUCAGCGAAAUUGAACUCUCCGUGAAGAUGCGGAGUUCCCGCGGUCAGACGGAAAGACCCCGUGAACCUUUACUGCAACUUCGCAGUGGUGUUAGGAAAUGACUGUGCAGGAUAGGCGGGAGGCUUCGAAGCGAGGGCGUCAGCUCUCGUGGAGCCAACCUUGAGAUACCGCCCUUUCCUUUCUUGGCAUCUAACCGAGACCCGUGAACCCGGGCCCGGGACCCUGCGUGGUGGGUAGUUUGACUGGGGAGGUCGCCUCCCAAAGAGUAACGGAGGCGCGCGAUGGUAGGCUCAGGCUGGUCGGAAAUCAGCCACAGAGUGUAAUGGCAUAAGCCUGCCUGACUGCGAGACUGACAAGUCGAGCAGAGACGAAAGUCGGUCAUAGUGAUCCGGUAGUUCUGUGUGGAAGGGCUAUCGCUCAACGGAUAAAAGGUACUCCGGGGAUAACAGGCUGAUGAUUCCCAAGAGUUCACAUCGACGGAAUCGUUUGGCACCUCGAUGUCGGCUCAUCACAUCCUGGGGCUGAAGCAGGUCCCAAGGGUUCGGCUGUUCGCCGAUUAAAGUGGUACGUGAGCUGGGUUUAGAACGUCGUGAGACAGUUCGGUCCCUAUCUGCCGUGGGUGUUGGAAAACUGAAAGGAGCUGCCCCUAGUACGAGAGGACCGGGGUGGACAUACCUCUGGUGUACCAGUCGUCACGCCCGUGGCGCCGCUGGGUAGCUAUGUAUGGACGGGAUAACCGCUGAAAGCAUCUAAGCGGGAAGCCUCCCUUAAAACGAGUUUUCCUUAGAGAGGCGUAGAAGACCACUACGUUGAUAGGCCAGGUGUGGACCCAUGGCAACAUGUGAAGCUAACUGGUACUAAUCCCUCCAAAUGCUCAA